AUUGAACGCUGGCGGCAGGCCUAACACAUGCAAGUCGAACGAGUGGCGGACGGGUGAGAAAUGUCUGGGAACCUGCCCGAUGGAGGGGGUUAACUACUGGAAACGGUAGCUAAUACCGCAUACCAUCAGAUGUGCCCAGAUGGGAUUAGCUUGUUGGUGGGGUAACGGCUCACCAGGGCGACGAUCCCUAGCUGGUAUGAGAGGAUGACCAGCCAACCUGGAACUGAGACACGGUCCAGACUCCUACGGGAGGCAGCAGUGGGGAAUAUUGCACAAUGGGCGCAAUCCUGACGCAGCCAUGCCGCGUGUAUGAAGAAGGCCUUCGGGUUGUAAAGUACGUUCAGCGGGGAGGCGUUACCCGCAGAAGAAGCACCGGCUAACUCCGUGCCAGCAGCCGCGGUAAUUC
rnacentral:rRNA from 1 species